CUAUACUUGAGCCCGUGCGUCGCUUUCAGGUGACACAAUGAAAACGAGGGCAUGGAUGCUGUCAUUGGACGGACAAUUUGAAGUUGUUUCUUGCACUCUGGAAUUUACCAAAGGUACUUCUUGGGCAUCAAUCCAGAGACGGCAGAGAGGACAUAUCAACCAGCAAGUCUGUACACUGAUCAGGAAACUCAUUGAGUUCGAAUGGAUGUCAAUCUAGUGUGUAAGCAAUGUUCCAAUGCCAAAAUGGACAAACUCAGCUCUGGCUUUGUGUUAAGCUACAUGUAGUCAUGCAGUAAAAUGAUCACUGAAUGUGUUCUAUAGUGUGUCCUGGUUCAAUGGAGA